CUUUUGGCGCCUAAUCCCCACCCGUUCUCUAGUUUCGUCUUCCUUCCCCGCUCCAACUCCUCUCUCAAAUCUCCGAUCCAAAUUCGAAUCCCCAAAUCCUUCGCGUCCCCAGAAGUUCCAGAUGCUUCUCCUCCAUCCCCGCGCGGUCCCUGCGCCCGCUCUGCGAGGGAGGCCGCCGCCACCCCGGCCUCGGCCUCGCCGGCGGCUGGUGCCGCCUCCCCUCGCCGCGGCGUCCGGCUCCAUCGCAGUCAGCUCCGAUGAGGACGCCUUCACCAGGUGCUCCGGGUACCUGUUCGAGGAGGGCGCGGCCACCGAGUCGCAGCUCCCCAUCGCCUACGACCUCCCCGGCAUCGCCGCCGUGUACCGCCGCCGGCCGCUCCUCGUGCUCCGGCGGUCGCUGCAGAUCGGCACCUCCUUCGGCCGGUGGUUCGCGCUGAGGUACCUCGACCGCGUCAACGAGCGCGCCGACGACAUGUUCGAGCUUCGGGCGGCUCAGCUCAGGAGGAUACUAUUGGAACUUGGCCCGGCAUUUGUGAAGAUCGCACAAGCAGUUUCGUCACGGCCGGAUGUUAUUCCGCCUGCAUACCUUGAUGAGCUCUCACUGCUUCAGGACCGCAUAGCACCAUUUUCAACCGAUGCUGCUUUUAACAUUAUAGAAAAAGAGCUUGGGCUGCCACUGGAUAUGAUUUUCUCUGAGAUAUCACCAGAGCCAGUUGCUGCUGCAUCUCUUGGGCAGGUUUACCAGGCUAGGCUUCGAUCCAACGGGAAGGUUGUUGCUGUCAAAGUACAAAGACCUGGUGUUCAAGCAGCAAUUUCAUUGGACAUAUAUAUCUUGAGGUUCCUAGCUAGUCUUGCAAGGAAGGCUGCCAAGUUGAACACAGAUCUUCCGGCUGUGCUUGACGAAUGGGCAUCGAGCCUGUUCCGGGAGAUGGAUUAUAGAGAAGAAGCAAGAAAUGGACUUAAGUUCAGAGAAUUGUUUGGGAAGUUUAGAGAUGUCUCAGUUCCUGAAAUGUAUCUGGAACAGUCUCGAAGGCGAGUCCUUAUCAUGGAAUGGAUAGAGGGGGAAAAGUUGUCAGAAGUCAGAGAUCAAUAUUUGGUUGAGGUUGGAGUAUAUUGUUCGCUUUCCCAGCUAUUAGAAUAUGGAUUUUAUCAUGCAGAUCCACACCCUGGAAAUCUUUUGCGUACAGUUGAUGGGAAAUUAGCCUACUUAGAUUUUGGGAUGAUGGGAGAAUUCCGACAAGAACUUCGUGAUGGAUUUAUUGAAGCCUGUCUUCAUCUUGUUAACCGUGAUUUUGAUGCUUUAGCAAAAGAUUUUAUCACUCUUGGUUUGCUUCCUCCAACUGCCCAGAAGGGUGAAGUAACAAAGGCACUGACAGGUGUAUUUGAGAAUGCUGUUAACAGAGGAGUUCAGAAUAUAAGCUUUGGAGAUCUGUCAGGAAAUCUUGGACGAACAAUGUAUAAAUUCAAGUUCCAGAUACCUUCUUACUUUUCCCUUGUAAUUCGAAGCCUUGCUGUCUUGGAAGGUAUUGCAAUAAGUUUUAAUCCAAACUAUAAAGUGCUGGGCAGUUCAUACCCAUGGAUUGCAAGAAAAGUUCUCACUGACAGUUCACCAAAGCUCCGAUCAACUUUGCAGGCUCUUCUUUAUAAGGAUGGCACUUUCCAAAUUGAUCGUCUGGAAUCUUUGUUAACUGAGUCACUUCGUGCCAGAACAGAGCAAUCAUUGGUCAGAAAUCAACAAGAAGAUGUUGAUAGUACAAGAUAUGCAAUUAAGCAAGUCUUGUCAUUCACACUCACUGACCAGGGUGCCUUUGUGAAGGAUUUACUUCUUCAGGAGAUUGCUAAGGGAAUAGAUGCACUUGGUGUAGCCACAUUAAGCUCAGCAACAUCUGCAGCAGCCUCCAGAUUGCCAUUUGCUGGUGGUCCAUCCCCAUUAACCUCACUAGAUGACGAGGAUGUUAAUAACUUGAGAAAUCUAUAUCGCCUGCUCCUACUUUUAUCUAAGGUUUCUCAGAAGGAAAAUUCAUCUCCGAGUCCUGGAAAUAACAAUGCCAUAGAGAAUGGUGGUAGCACAGAUGAACUUUCUCUUGCUCUGUACGAAAUGGCAUCUCUUCCAGAAUUUUUGCCAGUUCUUUCCAUCAUUCCUGAGCUUCCACCGGAGUCCCAACAGCAGUUGCUUCUUCUGCCAACGGAUUUAGCCAAUCGUAUUUUAUCUCGGGCUGUUGCGAGAACUAUUAGAAGAAUGUUCAUGUAAAGCUAAAGUCUCCAAUGCUAAAAAGCCCUUUGUGCUAUUUUCACUGUAUACGCGAGAUCAUGAGUAAUCUGUGGCCAACAAAAUUGUGUAUACUCCUCACAAAAGAAAAAUUCACCUGUUCCUCCGUUGCAACAUACUAACGAAACAUACCAAACAGAGUGCAGAAUGCACUUCUCCGCAAACAUCCUUUCAGUCAAGGUAGUGUCCUCGGAUAUAGGCUUCCCAAUACAUGUGUAUGGCACUGUCAUUGCCAGAGACAGCGUCGAUAAGAAAUGUGUUUAUCUCUUCCGUUGCCAUAGAAGGGAUUCCCAGCUCAUCAAGUCAGAGGAUGAAUCACUAAUCUUGACUGGCCCGGCUCGAGGACUUCUCUUGAUAGAUUUUAUAUGGCUUGAGACGGAUCUUAAGAUUAAGGGUGAGAGAGGGCAGGACAAGAUACUUAGCAAGGGGUUGCCUGAGAUUGAUGGCCGAUUAUCAUCUAUUCUGGAAAAUAUUAAGGUUAGGGAUAUCACUUGUGAUAGCAGGCUUAGCACCGUGGAGGUGAAGUACGCGGUUGUUAAAAGUGCAGUGGAGGCUACCGUUGAAAUUCAGGUCAUCCAUGGAACAUUUUAUGGCUAAAUCACAGCUCACACCACCAGCAUCCUUCACAGAAUUGUCCUUUAUGAUAGCAAAGCUGGUGGUGUGGCGACCUCUGAUGGUAGCGGAGCUAUCCAACUGUGGCGCCGUGUCAUAGCUGUCUGCUUGAACGAGAAGUUGAUGUUAACAGUUGAUUCUCAAGCUAGCAAUGACAUACAGAUUAUUCAGUUUGGUCCAUCCCUUAAUGGUGCGAGCCAACAUGUAAUUUAUUGUGGUGCCAUUAAGUUGUGCUUGAAGGUAACUUGGUCAGUCAUCACAGAAUAAUGUAAUUUAGUGAUUGGAGUUCAUCGAUGUGCAAAUUUACCA